rnacentral:rRNA from 1 species
AUGAAUGGACCCUGGGUGGUCCUUGGUGAUUUUGAUGAAAUCUUAUACUCCCAUGAGAAAGAAGGAGGUGCUCCAAGACCAACCCAAAUGAUGCAAAACUUCAAAGAUGCGCUGGUGGAUUGCCAGCUAGAUGACAUGGGAUAUAAGGGCGAAAUGUUUACAUGGCGGUGGAGGAGACUGAGAGAAAGAUUGGACAGAGGUAUUUGUAAUGGAGCUUUCCAUGCACUAUUCCCAGAUGCAACUAUCACCAAUGUUGAACACUCAAAAUCAGACCAUCGUCCUUUGGUA